AACCGAAAUGUCCUGGAGGGUGCUAAUAAGACAAUGUUGUUAUAAUUAUUAAUACAAUAUCGUAUAAUCGGUUAAAUAAAUCUGAACGGGGUAUAUACCUGUAAUACCUACCAACCUAUACCAAUAUACGAUUAUCUGAUCCGCCGUCAUCGCCGUCGUGAUGGUUAAAAGAAGUUAUUAACGACCGCGGACCUCGUUUAUAUUCUUUUGUUUUCCUGUAUAGGUACCUACCUACCUACCCACAAACCUGUUGGAUCUAUGUAUAUUAAAAACGUAAAAAAAAAAAAAAAAAAUACCGAACCGAACCGAAUAUUUGAAUACCGGCGCGCAGGGUAUCAUGUUAUAUAGGUCCGUGACCCUUACCACCCUAACCGCCGAAUUGAAAUCAUAAUAACAACGCCACGAUGUUGGAUAUGUUACGCGAGUACGUAUGCCUACUCCUCGAUCUGUUGUAUUUGUCGAUUGUUUCGUAAUAAUUCAUGUAUGAUAAUAAAACAUACGUAAUACCUCUUGACUA